rnacentral:rRNA from 1 species
GAUGAACGCUGGCGGUGUGCCUAAUACAUGCAAGUCGAGCGAACAGACGAGGAGCUUACUCCUCUGACGUUAGCGGCGGACGGGUGAGUAACACGUGGAUAACCUACCUAUAAGACUGGGAUAACUUCGGGAAACCGGAGCUAAUACCGGAUAACAUGUUGAACCGCAUGGUUCAACAGUGAAAGACGGUCUUGCUGUCACUUAUAGAUGGAUCCGCGUCGCAUUAGCUAGUUGGUAAGGUAACGGCUUACCAAGGCAACGAUGCGUAGCCGACCUGAGAGGGUGAUCGGCCACACUGGAACUGAGACACGGUCCAGACUCCUACAGGAGGCAGCAGUAGGGAAUCUUCCGCAAUGGGCGAAAGCCUGACGGAGCAACGCCGCGUGAGUGAAGAAGGUCUUCGGAUCGUAAAACUCUGUUAUUAGGGAAGAACAAAUGUGUAAGUAACUAUGCACGUCUUGACGGUACCUAAUCAGAAAGCCACGGCUAACUACGUG